AUUACAAGAAAAGAGAUCCCACCUAAACAUAAGAAAGAACUUUGUUACUAUAAAUGGACUUCCACAAGGGUGGGGUGGAUUCUCCUUUUUUGGAAGUCUUUAAAUAGAUAUCGGUUGGACAUCUUUCAGGAGCCUUUAAGCAGCUGCCGUUACAGGUCUCUGGAAGGGAAAAAAAGAUCCUUGCCAUGGGCAAUGUCCUGGCCACCAGCUCCCCGACCCCCCCCCCCCCCGGCGGCGCCAGGGCUGGGCUCCGGCUUGGUCUUGGUGCCCCCGGCUUCUCCGUGCCUCCCAUCACCAGGCUGGUGCCCCCCACGCAAGACCGCCCCACCGACGACAAGUGCGACCAGCUCCCCAACCCAGGGACCUUUGAGCAGUGUCACCGGAAGUGCAAAGCGGUGGUAUCAGGCCAAACUGCAGAGAAGGAAGUAUCUAAAGUAUCGUGGAAAAAUUAUUAAAAUCCAGAGAAUGGUGAGAAAAUGGAUGAGCUAUAAAAAUAAAUCUACAUGUGCAAUUAACAAAGACACGAGGCAAGCAACACAGGACAAUGGAAUAACCAAAUUUCAGGCAUUGUGGAGAGGGUACUCAUGGAGGAAGAAGACGGAUACUGCAGAAACCCGAGCUCUGCAAGAUACUUGGUGAUUGCCAACAAAGAAAAUGUUUUAAAAUUUUAUAUUGUAUUUAAUAGUUUUAAUUGAUUUUAUAUACUGUGCAAUUUUGAUUUUGUGUAGGCAUCGAAUUACUGCCAUUGUUGUAAACCGUCCAUUAGGGUGAGAAGGGCGGGAUAUAAAUGUUGGAAAUAAAUAAAUAAUAGACAUCCUAUACUUGAA